AGAGUUUGAUUAUGGCUCAGGAUGAACGCUGGCGGCGUGCUUAAUACAUGCAAGUCGAACGAGCAGAGAUAUCGUAUCGAAGCGAGUGGCGGACGGGUGAGUAACGCGUGGGAAACCUGCCCUAUACCGGGGGAUAACAGUUGGAAACGACUGCUAAUACCGCAUAAGCGCACGAUGUCGCAUGACAUUGUGUGAAAAAACUCCGGUGGUAUAGGAUGGUCCCGCGUCUGAUUAGCUAGUUGGUGAGGUAACGGCCCACCAAGGCGACGAUCAGUAGCCGACCUGAGAGGGUGACCGGCCACAUUGGGACUGAGACACGGCCCAAACUCCUACGGGAGGCAGCAGUAGGGAAUAUUGGACAAUGGGGGCAACCCUGAUCCAGCCGACGCCGCGUGAGUGAAGAAGCAUUUCGGUAUGUAAAGCUCUAUCAGCAGGGAAGAAAAUGACGGUACCUGACUAAGAAGCACCGGCUAAAUACGUGCCAGCCGCUGC
rnacentral:rRNA from 1 species